ACGAGGUUUGUGACUGAGCGGCGGACGGGUGAGUAACGCGUGGGUAACCUGCCUCAUACACAUGGAUAACAUACCGAAAGGUAUGCUAAUACAAGAUGAUAUAAGAGAUUCGCAUGGAUUUCUUAUCAAAGCUCCGGCGGUAUGAGAUGGACCCGCGUCUGAUUAGCUAGUUGGUAAGGUAAUGGCUUACCAAGGCGACGAUCAGUAGCCGACCUGAGAGGGUGAUCGGCCACAUUGGAACUGAGACACGGUCCAAACUCC
rnacentral:rRNA from 1 species